rnacentral:rRNA from 1 species
UCAAAACUUUCAACAACGGAUCUCUUGGUUCUGGCAUCGAUGAAGAACGCAGCGAAAUGCGAUAAGUAAUGUGAAUUGCAGAAUUCAGUGAAUCAUCGAAUCUUUGAACGCACAUUGCGCCCUCUGGUAUUCCAGAGGGCAUGCCUGUUCGAGCGUCAUUU